GCCUGGCGCUGUGGUUGGAGGGUGUUGUCCCCGAUUCCCUAUCUAUACUCCACGGAAAGAGUGUCGAGAGAGAGAGAGAGAUGGAGGAAAUGAGUCUAGUGAUCUUGCCAAUCCCAGGAAUCGGGCACUUGAUCUCUACCGUGGAAUUAGCAAAGCGGCUUGUGAAGCAGAAGCCUUUCUCUAUCACAAUCCACAUGAUGCGCUUUCCUUUACAAGACACCGACGCCUACAUCAAAUCCGUUGCCGCCUCUGGCCUCAACAUCCAAUUCGUCGACCUCCCUUCGAUCCAGAUCCCACCCUCCCUGGAGACAUGCAUGCCUUUAUUCACUGAAAACCACAAGCUCCUCGUCAAGGACGCCAUCACAAGAAUCCGCGCCUCGACGAAAACCCGUGCGGCCGCAUUGACCAUCGACCUCUUCAUGACCACCAUGAUCGACGUGGCAAUGGAGCUUGGCAUCCCUGCAUACAUGUACUUCACAUCCGGCACAGACUUUCUAGCGCUCAUGCUCUGUCUCCGGAUCCUCCAUACCCAGAUACCCUGCGAGUUCCAUGAAUUCCAAGGAGAAAUAGAUAUUCCUGGGAUGCGGCCGUUGCCUCCCAACAUCAUGCCAACGCCACUGAUGAACAAGAAAAAGGAGAUGUAUACAUGGUUUGUCGACCACGGCCGAAGAUUCCGAGAAACACAAGGAAUCAUCAUCAACACAUUUGCCAAGCUAGAGCCGGCUCCACUUGAAGCGGUGGCCAACGGACGAUGUUUGCCCGACCACGCCACUUCACCUCUCUACCCAGUGGGACCAUUGAUCGCUCUCGACGACAAAUCCCAAUCCAAAUCAAGCGGCUUGAUUGAGUGGCUAGACCAGCAACCACACGCAUCGGUCGUCUUCCUCUGCUUCGGAAGCAGGGGCUCCUUUUACCCACAGCAGGUGAAGGAGAUGGCACUGGGGCUGGAGAAGAGCGGGCACCGGUUCCUUUGGUCGCUGCGGUGCCCUUCAUCAGAGAAUCCCAGCAUGGCGGUUGAUGCGCAUUUGGACCAGGUCUUGCCGGAUGGUUUCUUGGAUAGGACCAAAGGGCGGGGAUUGGUGUGGCCGUCUUGGGUGCCGCAAAUGGCAAUCCUCGCCCAUCCGGCGGUUGGAGGCUUUGUUUCGCACUGUGGCUGGAAUUCGAUCUUAGAGAGCUUAUGGUUUGGAGUACCUAUAUUGGCAUGGCCUCUGUACGCCGAGCAGAGGCUCAAUGCUUUCCAGCUGGUGAAGGAUUACGGUCUGGCUGCGGAACUGAGGUUGGAUUUUGACGGAGAUGGGUUGGUUAGCGCGGAAGAGUUAGAACGGGGAGUAAGGUGUUUGAUGGAAGACUCUGAGGAAGGGGUGAAAGUGAGGAAGAGAAUGAAGGAGAUGGGAGAGGCGAGUAGGAAUUCUGUGAAAGAUGGGGGCUCUUCCUUUGCUUCCUUGGAGCGUCUUGCGGACAUACUCAGCCAUGGUUCAACCUUUACUAAAACUGACGAGAUAGCAACGUAGAGCCAUGAGAAUCUGAAUAUGGUAGAGCUAUAGGUCUGCAGAUCAUGUACCAGGUUGAGAUAUCAAUCUGGGCCGUGUAUCUGGAAGAGUACAACUUGAGGGGGAGUACUAAUUUUUGCAAUCUUCAACUACACCAUGAGUUCAAGAAUAUAGGUAAACAUUCUGAUUCAUGUAUCACUAAGUGUUUUGUCAUAAAAUUGAUAAAGGGGGAGAUUAUAA